UGGAAUAGCAAGUAUAUUGCUAUCUAUCUAUACUAUCUCAGCUUUCUGUCUGAACACAGAGAAGCAGGUGGGAAUGCUUUAAAAGAGCUUCUGUGUGGAAAAAAAGUUAAGAGAGACAGAGGAUGGUCUCUCACUUCUGCUCAGCCAAGAAGCUGAGCCAGAGUGAGGCCAGGAAGCAAUUCACUGCUCUUGUAUGCCAGGAAUAACUUGCCACUGGUAGGAAAUAACUGCGGAAGUAGUAUUUUGUGGAGUAGCUCCUGCUAAGGCAGGGCAGCUGCACAGCACUGCUUUUCAAGCUGCCCCGGAGCUCACCAUCUUGCACAAACACUUAUGCAUUUGUUCCUUCCCUUCUCAGAUUCCUCUGUCUGGUUGGUAUUGGCAGCUGGAUUAUCAAGAUGUCUUGAGAAAGUACUUCUGCAAGUAUUUUUCAUAUAAUCAAAGCUGUUAGCACUAAAAUAUCUUCCCCAGAAAGGAUUCUCCUGAGCUGCACACCGUGACUGCUGCCUUGACAUUCUCCCAAGCUGACAUCCCGACCGGUAUGACACUGAUGCCUUUGGGCAGAAAUCAGAGCCGGUUUGCUACAUGCCUCUGUGUAGCCAGGAUGCCUGUAGUGCCUCUGAGAGCCCCCAGUGCCCUGGUGGGGAAAUGGAGCGAGCACGUGAGCCCCAGAUGAACUCCAGGGAAAGAGCAGGAAUUAUCUGUGGUGAUCCUGCUGCCCAUUUCCAGUUGUUGAAAUGGCUGGAAGAGAAGCCCUCUGACCAUCUGCUUUAUAUUCAGACUUCAGAUUUGAGUCUUCACCUAAAGGCACAGCUGCUUCUUGACUUCAGCUAAUCACCACAUUCCCUUGAAGGAGUGAUACCUCUCCCAAGCUUCUGUGCUAGCAUCAUGAGAGAACUGAUCUAUGGGCUACUCAGUGGUUACUUACAUCAUUCUUGUGCUUCCAACCAUGUGAGUUGACCGCAGACUUUCAAAAGGUAAUCUGGGGAGAUUUUAUCAAAUGUAAAAAUGUUCCUAGACAUUACUGGAGCCAUGAUGUAAUGAACCAAGGUUUUGUUCUUUAAAUUCCUCUUUGCUGAAAACCACAGGCCCCAAAAAAUAAUUCCAGAGAAGCUGUGGAGUUUUAAGAGGGAGGCUGAGGUCCUGUGCUGGGGUGAGCUGUUCUGUGCUUCAGUGCUAGGGAGAAAGGGUUCCCAGCUGAGUGCUGUGUUACUGGCUGUGAAGUCUGGACUGGAUCUCUGAUUUGGACAAUAACUCUUCACAGGGAGUACUCUGCUGUUCCUCUGCUGGGCUGGGAGAUGCUGCCAUAGGAAAAAGGAGUGUGACCAGGCUUGCAGUGCUCCUGGCUGCUCCUGGCAUGUUGCUUGUUGAGGGCUUUGUAUUGGUUGUAGCUGUAGCUGUUUCCAUUGUUGUGAGGACAAUUCCAAUACACAGUGUUACCUCAAAACACCAAAAGAUGACACUCCUUUUUAGUGUCAUCAGUGUUGGAGGUGAGAACCUGGUUUGCAGUAUCUCAUAGCUUUGACACACCUUUACACUCCCUUUUAGAGACUGAAUGAUCCCUGUGCCACGUGUCUGUGAAAGUCUUCCUGACACAUUUUUGUCCACCCAGGCUGCAAUAAAGCAGUGUCUAAGCUUUGAAUCUUUGGAUUUUAGUACCUACUGAAAUCCCCUGAACAAAUGGCUGUGGGACAUGGCUUUGAUGAAUGAUGCUUAAGGGGCAACAUUUCAUUUUGUCUAAGGAGAGGUAAGUGGGACGGGGAGCUUCUGAGUGCUCAGUGAGGUAGGAGAGGUCCUGAGUGUUGCCUAAUCAAGGGGAAGUUUCUUCUUCUCUGUAAACUGCUGCAAAGUCAAUGUCAAGUCAGUGUGACAUCUGCAUUAUGUCACCUUAUGGUGGGGAUACCUCUUCAUACAUGGUAUUUUUUCAGACUGAAACCAAUUCAAUGCUUUACCUAAAAAGCUUGUAAAAUGAUUCUAAGGGUUAUAACUCAGUCCUAACAGGCUUCAGUUUUAUUCUGGGACAAGAGGACUUGGUUAGUAGGAAUGCUGGGUAAUAAGUUUGUCAGAUAGCAGCUGAAGUGAUUGGUGGAAAACAAGGCUGCUCAAAAGGAACAAGAAAAGAAGGAAAGCCAGGAGAAGGCAGUACCAUUGAAACUAAGGAUUUUGAAAGUAUUCACUGUUGUUAAAACAUCCAGCAUGACAAGGAACUAGUUAGAGUGCAUGAUGUUAAGCUGCAACCACAAGGAGUCUUAUAAAAGAUAGAAGGUGGGAUUUCUUUUACAGAGUUUAAGUGUUUGCAUUGCAGAUAUUUGUAUGCUUUAUUUACCCAAUUUCCAGUUUAGUGAAUCACUUCAGGGUAGUAUGAAAGGAAACUUCUGAUACACAGUUGAAGCACAUUUAACUAGGAAGUUCAAGGUAGAAAAACAGAACAGGAAAUGCCCACAGAACAGAGCUGGGAAAGUGAAAGUAUUUUCAUAUCUAUUCUAUUUCAGGAUAGACCUGUGGUCAUUCAAAAUAAGAAAAAUAAGUUAAAUUGCUCUAGAACAAGCCAGUCCUUAUGGCACGUGGCUGUGAGAUAGAUCAAAGCUCAACUCUUCUCUACAUUGUUUGUACCAUAGACUAGAAUGAGAGUCUUCCAUACUGCAAUAUAAUUGUUCGGAUUUGCAUACCUGAUAAAAUAACUGUGAGUAGCAUGUAAUUAACCUUGGGUACCCUACAUUACACGUGGUAAUCCUGAAAAUAAAGGUAUAGAAUGGAGAGACAAAAGAAAGUCCAUCAAAGAACUGAGAAUAUUCUCUUUUUUAAACUCCUUACUUUCUUUUUGUGAGAAAUUUCAGUUAAACUUAAUUGACCUUUGCCAAUGAAACUGUACUGGAAAAUUUCCUGAGCAGCUCUCAUAAGGAGGUUUUGGAAUCAAGAGGACCAGAAGAACCCUUCAGGUAAUAAGUUUAAAACAAAUAGAAGGAAAUAAUUUGUGACAUUAGUGGCUAAAUAAAUUGCAGAAGUCAUUGCAAAGUAAAUAUGAUGGCCAAAGGAACUUGUAUGUUAAGAGAACAUUUGGAUGUGUAAAUAGAGGGUAGCACUGCCAGCCGCUUGAUGUAGGGGGGGUCUUUAAGCAGACUUAAGCAGCUAGGUAUGGGAAAGGGAAGUCCUGUGAGCACUUAUCUUUUGUUUUCUCCUGUGAGUGUGUCACCUGCCUUCUAGUGGCGAUCAGGUACUGAGCUAGGUUGAUUUUUGGUCUGACCCAGCAUGACAUUUCUUAUUCUUGUUUUAAGUAAUUCUUGCAUCUUCUUUCACUUGUGACUUUGCUGGAAGGUCUCACCAGUUUUCCAAUCAAUCUAGUCUGCAUGUCUGCUUUUGUGUCCAGCCUAUCUAUAUAUAUUGACAUGUAGGAUGUGACUACAAUGGGACAGGUGUGAGUAGUCAGACACCAUUUCUACACACAAGAUUAGAAAGAUGUUACCCUUAUAGCUUGUGGUUUUGUUUUAUUUUCACAGUUAGUGCUUCUCAGACUAAAAGAAUAGUUUCCUUCCAAAAAUUAGGCAUAAAAGUCCAGAAAUGUCUUUUCCAAAUAGCCCACAGUGUUGAGAAUUAACAACAAGCCCUCUUCCAGCUCAUUCUGUCAUUUCAGCAUGUUCAUGCCAUGUGUCAGGACAAACCAUUGAGACAUCUGCAUGGGUUCAUGCGAGUCCGUGGGCUUUGAAUCAUUUUGUGUGGGAAAUCCCACAGUACUGUGCUCAUUUCACUGACAAACAGCUCAUGUCUCCUCAUGACAAAAUAGACCCUUUGCAAAGCAUAAUAGAGGAAGAUGCUCUGAUUGUGAUCCAAAACUGUUCUCACAGUAAUAUCAUCUGACUCAUUUAGCCCUCCAGAUGGGACAGGCCCUUGCAUCUUGCACAAGGAAACAUCUAAAUGCUUUCUCCCCAAACCCCCCCCUCUCUUUGUAGUUCUCUGCAAAACCCACUCCCAAUCUCCCUCGUCUUACAUGUUUAAUUCCAGUGAUCUUGUUUCUGUGUGGUUUAACAUCAUUGCACAGGAAGGAGUCUCCCCAGACACCUUCCACUAAGAAUCGUGACUUGCAUCACUACAUACCUGCAGUAUCAGACUGAGAGCAUUUAAAUGCUUUCUGAGCUGAAACAAGGCCUGGGAGGAGACAGAACUUGUCAGUGAGGGGGGUACAUGAAGUGAGUGCCCCAUGAGAAACAUUUAAAAGGUAAGGCAUAAAUUUGGAGCGAGCGUUCACUCCAUUUUAACAUGGUUAUAGGGCUGCUGUCUGACCUCCUCACCUAAUUUGCAAAUAAUCUUGUCAGGACAAAUUGGUCCAUGCUGAGCCUGUUCUGUUGAGACUAGAUGGUUAUCAGGACCUGCACUAGCUGAUGUUAAGGUAGUUCUGGUAUCUCUGCAGUACAGUGGAGUCACGGUGGCAGUGACUGCCAUGCAGGGCUAUGCUUUUCAAUUAAACAUAAUGGUUGCACAAAAAACCUCAUCUACAGAA